AUUGAACGCUGGCGGCAGGCCUAACACAUGCAAGUCGAACGGUAGCACAGAGAGCUUGCUCUCGGGUGACGAGUGGCGGACGGGUGAGUAAUGUCUGGGAAACUGCCCGAUGGAGGGGGAUAACUACUGGAAACGGUAGCUAAUACCGCAUAACGUCGCAAGACCAAAGUGGGGGACCUUCGGGCCUCACACCAUCGGAUGUGCCCAGAUGGGAUUAGCUAGUAGGUGGGGUAAUGGCUCACCUAGGCGACGAUCCCUAGCUGGUCUGAGAGGAUGACCAGCCACACUGGAACGGAGACACGGUCCAGACUCCUACGGGAGGCAGCAGUGGGGAAUAUUGCACAAUGGGCGCAAGCCUGAUGCAGCCAUGCCGCGUGUAUGAAGAAGGCCUUCGGGUUGUAAAGUACUUUCAGCGGGGAGGAAGGCGGUGGAGUUAAUAACUUCACCGAAUGACGUUACCCGCAGAAGAAGCACCGGCUAACUCUGUGCCAGCAGCCGCCGUAA
rnacentral:rRNA from 1 species